rnacentral:lncRNA from 1 species
UCUAGGCAUGACAGUUGUGAAAAUAUCGACUUGUUGACUGCUUUGCUGAUCUUGUCACAAAAUUUUGUUACCGUAAAAAAUACAGGAUAAAGGAAGGGAUUGUUACAUCUAUGCAGCAACUUGUCAACGAAUAGUCAAGGUCUUGGCGGAUGUUUUGAGCGCACAGUAACAAACACUGGUCUAAGUGUAUCAACGCAGGAAGCUACAAGAUACAUGUGAUUACAUCUGCUGAUCGGAAGGAGUUGCUGAGGAUGUAAAAACAACAAGCCAUAUUUUGGGGAAAUGGAGUAGGAAGACGUUGGCUGGUUGCAGUGGCAUUUUAACAGUACCGCAGUAGAUGUUUAGGAAGUGCUGAUAGACAAAGCUAUGAUUACCUAGCAGAGCAAAACAGUUCCACAAUCCAGAAUUCCAGAAACAAAGGAUGCAUCAUAGUUGGACUAGUGUAAACGGAAUUAAUGCAGUGGACUUUUAUUUGUUGGACAAUCCAUAUUAUUCGUUUGACAAUUGAUUUAUAAAGACACCUGUCAAAAUGUAUUAGGCAGGUAUAAAACAAAAUAAAAGGCUUCUUAUGGUCAACCUUCAUACUA